rnacentral:lncRNA from 1 species
CGAAACUGAAAGUUUCAUUCAAUAUCAUUUCUGACAUACAUGUAUUUAGUACACGACAAGGAGAGAACUUAUAAUAUCCGAAAGGUCGAGAGGUGGUCAAAUCAGAUCAAACUUUGGUCUCUGGAAAGAAACAUCAGAUUCAGCUGAAAUUUUCAAGUAAAAUGAAGGUUUAUGUUUGGCUUCCACAAGGAACGCAAGUGGGUCACGCUUCUCUACUGCUGUCUAACGGAACGUACCUCAGCUGGUGGCCCGAUGAUCAAAAGAAGGCGAAAAAUGCCGUCGCUAUGAAAAAAGGGAGUUCUUCGUCCUCGCUAGAGGAGGACAUCCACAAGGAAGGGAGGAAACCGGACAAGGAAUACAACAUUUCGAUCAAAGGAUAUAACGAAAAAGCGAUUGAGAAGUGGUGGGACGAGUUCAGAUUCGAUAAGACCUACCAACUUUUGGGUAAGAAUUGUUGCUGGGUCGUGUACACGGCUCUCACAAAGGGUGGCGCUCCCAAAACAUCUGAUGGUCUUUGGACACCCCGCUGGAUCGUGGACUAUAUGUCUCAGAUUUAAGCUGUCUAUCUGAUUCAAGUUGAUGAAGAUAUUUUAGAGACUGGAUUACGGACAAUACUGUAAUACAACAAAAACAUGAAGACAAAAACCUUAUUACUUUCAAAAUGUAUUCUUUUGUUUCUUUUUUGUGUUUGGGGGGGGGGGGGGGGGGGGGUGGUUGCUUUUUAUCCUUUGAGGGGAGUGUGUGUUAUUUUUCUGAUGUUUCAAAAUGUAAUUCUUGCUCUGUGCAAAAAAGUAUGUACUGAGUCUAAAAUACUAACAUUAAAGUAUUAAAUUGUUCCAGAGCUAGUUGUAAGAAAAAAAGUUAUACAACUUUACUUUAUACUAAAUUUUGUUUACAGUAAUAAUGAUUUUACUUUUUAAAAAAAUACCUAGCUCUCACCUAGUGAAUUAUCGCUAGUUCUCAAAAACGUCCUAACUCGAAAACCGUACUGUUUUAAUUUGAAGAAUUUAAAAACUAAACCUCGCAAUCUCAAUCAUUGAAAUAACAACAUAUUUGUUUAUAUUAUUUAUUUCUGAACAAAUAAUUAUAUAUAUAUGUUUGAAAAAACAAAGUAAGAUUUUUGUUUUUAAUUUGUGCUCAGUGCAAUGUAUCAUUACAGUUUACAUUACAUUCUACCAUCAUGCUGUAUACCAGCUCAAUGCAUAAAAUAAACGCAAUAAAUACGAUUUGUAAUUGAUAAACAAGACUUGUAAACCAUAUAAUGUACUUUCACAGUCAAAUCUGAUACUAGACUGGUCUGAUUAAUUUGCUUAACAGUCAAAUAAUUCGCUUCUAUAACUACAUAGUACGUUUUUUGGGAGAGGGUACACAAAUGACAGAUUCAUAUUUCCGAUGGGAAGGGAAUUUUUAAGUACAUAUAAACAACAAGUAAAUAUGUAAUAACUCUUUAUACUUUUAAUUACUAAACUGAACGAGAUAAACAUUAAUGCCGUUAAACUGAUAGCCUGACAACUUUGAGCAUGCGCGUCAGCCAUUUCUUAUUUGUAUGGUUUUCGAUUAAACGAGGAUAUACUGAUUUUAUAAAUAAAUUCAGAUAUUUAUACAUUAA